CAGACAAUAGUGACUGGUGCUGGGGAUGAAACUCUGCGGUUUUGGAAUGUUUUCCCAUCAAUGAAAACACCUACCCCAGUUAAAGAUACAGGCCUAUGGUCACUAGGCCACACCCAAAUUAGAUGAUCCAUUAAGCAAAAACCUCAAAUGAAACUGAAACAAGAAGAAGGAAUUGAAUCUUAUUAUGACAGUAGAUGAUGAAAACUGAAAA